rnacentral:rRNA from 1 species
UCUGGUUGAUCCUGCCAGUAGUCAUAUGCUUGUCUCAAAGAUUAAGCCAUGCAUGUCUAAGUAUAAGCAAUUUAUACAGUGAAACUGCGAAUGGCUCAUUAAAUCAGUUAUCGUUUAUUUGAUAGUUCCUUUACUACAUGGUAUAACUGUGGUAAUUCUAGAGCUAAUACAUGCUUAAAAUCUCGACCCUUUGGAAGAGAUGUAUUUAUUAGAUAAAAAAUCAAUGUCUUCGGACUCCUUGAUGAUUCAUAAUAACUUUUCGAAUCGCAUGGCCUUGUGCUGGCGAUGGUUCAUUCAAAUUUCUGCCCUAUCAACUUUCGAUGGUAGGAUAGUGGCCUACCAUGGUUUCAACGGGUAACGGGGAAUAAGGGUUCGAUUCCGGAGAGGGAGCCUGAGAAACGGCUACCACAUCCAAGGAAGGCAGCAGGCGCGCAAAUUACCCAAUCCUAAUUCAGGGAGGUAGUGACAAUAAAUAACGAUACAGGGCCCAUUCGGGUCUUGUAAUUGGAAUGAGUACAAUGUAAAUACCUUAACGAGGAACAAUUGGAGGGCAAGUCUGGUA